rnacentral:rRNA from 1 species
UACGGAGGGGGCUAGCGUUGUUCGGAAUUACUGGGCGUAAAGCGCACGUAGGCGGCUUUGUAAGUUAGAGGUGAAAGCCCGGAGCUCAACUUCGGAAUUGCCUUUAAGACUGCAUCGCUUGAACGUCGGAGAGGUGAGUGGAAUUCCGAGUGUAGAGGUGAAAUUCGUAGAUAUUCGGAAGAACACCAGUGGCGAAGGCGACUCUCUGGUCUGUAACUGACGCUGAGGCGCGAAAGCGUGGGGAGCAAACAGG